rnacentral:rRNA from 1 species
GAUGAUAUAUAAGGGUGCACGAAGGAGGUUGAGCUAACUAGUAACAUGUUAUGGCAUAUAAUUUGUAUGUUGCAACAUGCAGAAUAUAUUACUAGUUAGGGGUGAUAGGCUUUACAAAAUUUCCGAUAUCUUGUUUUUUAGGAAAAAUAUUAAGUAUUUGGUUAACUUGAAAGUGCUAAGGUUUUCAAGAAAUAUUAAAGUUGGUGGAUGUAGACCUAGAAUGUUUAACGACAAUUAGGUAGAUGCGCUUAAUACUAAUUAUUAUUCUUUUAUAUAAAUUACUAAAAUGUAUCUUGUAAUAUUGAAGAUAAUAUUAAUGUUAAUAUAAGUAUUAAAUAAUAAUCUGGAAAGGAACUCGGCAAUAAGUUUCUCAACUGUUUAUCAAAAACAUAGCCAGGUGUGUAUAUAUAUUUGGUGAUUUCUGCUCAAUGGGAUACUAAAUAGCCGCAGUACCCUGACUGUGCAAAGGUAGCAUAAUCAUUUGGCUCAUAAUUGGAGUCUGGCAUGAAGGAAGUAUUGGGAAAAGACUGUCUUUUAAGAUAAAUUAAAAAUUAUUAAACAAGUGAAAAUCCUUGUAUAAUAAUAAUAGACGAGAAGACCCUAGAAAUUUUUUACAAUAGGGUUAGGGCCAAUAGUAUUUUGUUGGGGCGACAGAAUAACAUUUAAACUUAUUUUACAUUAUUAGAACUAUAUAAGGUGCAAAUAUAAAUUACUCUAGGGAUAACAGCAUAAUUUAUUAAAGUUUGUGACCUCGAUGUUGGACUAAGGAUUUUAAUGUUUAGAAGAUAUUAAAACUGGCUCUGUUCGAGCCUUUUGCCCUUACAUGAUCUGAGUUCAGACCGGC